GGAAGUAAAAGUCGUAACAAGGUCUCCGUUGGUGAACCAGCGGAGGGAUCAUUACAGAGUUACUACUCCAAACCCAUUGUGAACCUUACCUAUGUUCUGUUGCCUCGGCGGCGUGGUCAGCGCCCCCUCUGAAAAGAGGACGAUGCCCUCCCGCCGGCAGCACCAAACUCUUUGAAUUUUACAGCGGAUUACAGUUCUGAUUUGAAAACAAAAAACAAGUUAAAACUUUCAACAACGGAUCUCUUGGUUCUGGCAUCGAUGAAGAACGCAGCGAAAUGCGAUAAGUAAUGUGAAUUGCAGAAUUCAGUGAAUCAUCGAAUCUUUGAACGCACAUUGCGCCCGGCAGUAAUCUGCCGGGCAUGCCUGUCCGAGCGUCAUUUCAACCCUCGAACCUCCGUUUCCUCAGGGAAGCUCAGGGUCGGUGUUGGGGCGCUACGGCGAGUCUUCGCGACCCUCCGUAGGCCCUGAAAUACAGUGGCGGUCCCGCCGCGGUUGCCUUCUGCGUAGUAAGUCUCUUUUGCAAGCUCGCAUUGGGUCCCGGCGGAGGCCUGCCGUCAAACCACCUAUAACUCCAGAUGGUUUGACCUCGGAUCAGGUAGGGUUACCCGCUGAACUUAAGCAUAUCAAUAAGCGGAGGA
rnacentral:rRNA from 1 species